UUUGUGUUCCCUCAAAUGGCGGUGUGAAGAGAGUUCGCCUGAGCCAGAUCCCAGGUUUCACUGAAGAAACGUCUUAGAGAUUCAUUGCACUUCUGAGAUUUAAUGUUUACAACUUGGAGUUGUCAACCUUCUUAUAAGAUACAUUUUGGAAGUCAAAAUGAAAGUUUUCUGUGAAGUUUUAGAAGAGUUAUACAAGAAGGUACUUCUUGGAGCCACACUUGAAAAUGACAGCCAUGAUUACAUCUUUUAUCUCAACCCAGCAGUUUCAGAUCAAGAUUGCUCUACAGCCACCUCCUUAGAAUGGGCAAACACCUGUCGUAUCCAGGGCAGGCAUCAGCCCAUCUCUGUUGGUGUGGCUCCCAUUGCUGUAGCACCUGUGUGUUUGAAGACCAACUCUCAGAUGAGCGGUUCCAGAGAAGUAAUGCUCCUUCAGUUAACAGUGAUCAAAGUGAUGACAACCCGGAUAUUGUCUGUCAAAACCGAGUUCCAUGCAAAGGAGCAAUACAGAGAUGUAAUUAAAAUUCUCUUAGAAUCAGCCAAAGUCGAUUCUAAAUUAAUCUGCAUGUUCCAAAAUUCAGAUAAAUUGUUAUCUCACAUGGCUGCACAGUGCCUUGCAUUGCUUCUAUAUUUCCAAUUGAGAGAAAAGAUAACCUUAAGUAAUUCCUGGAUUGCUUUUUGCCAGAAAAAUCUUUCUGAAUGCUCUGAGAGUAAUAAAGCAAUAUACUGCCUCUGGACUCUUACAGCAAUAAUAAAAGAAAUCUUUAAAGAUUCAUGUUCACAGAAAACAGAAAUUCUAAAGCAGUUCCUGACUCAUUUCGACACCAUUUUUGAAGUGUUUUACAAUUCCUUAUUCUCUCAGCAUUUUGAAAACUGCCGGGAUACUUCUAAAAUAGUAAACAUCCUGAUGUGUUUCCUGGAGUUGCUUGAGCUUCUCAUCGCCUCCAGAAUCCACCUGAAGUUACAUUUCACUUGCCAGAGGAUUUUAUUUUUGAAACCAUCUUGCAUGCUAGAAGUUAUUACCUGGCCUAUUCAGGCUUUUGUUAAAAGGAAGGUCAUCAUAUUCCUCAAAAAGUGCCUUCUCUGUAAAGUGGGUGAAGACCUCUGUCGUGGAUCUGUGCCUGCCUUAAUGCCGCCAGACCAUCAUGUAGCGGUGGACAUGCUGGCUUUAGCUAAUGCUGUUUUGCAAGCUGUGAAUUCGGGGUUGUUGAAGACACUGUCUGUUUAUGAAAAACAUUCCUUUUUUGGAGGCGAUGAAGUUCAACCUGGAUGUGAACAUAUCACUAGUCCAGAUCAUGUGAUCCUUAGAGCAGCAAGCUUAGUUAUAAUGAAAUCCUUAGAAAUCAAGUUUCAGAAUUGUUCUUCAGCAAGUGAAAUGAAAGGUGCGUGACCAUGGCCCACUGCAGCCCUGACCCCCCUUCGGCCCAUGCUAUUCCUCCUGUCCCAACCUGGGAGGUCCCAGCCUGGGAGAUCAAGGCUACAGUGAGCCAUGACCCAUCGCACACCUGCACUCCAGUCCUGGUGCAACAGAUGGAGAUCCUUUCAGGGAGAGAGAGAGAGAGAGAGGAGAAGAGAGAUUAAAGAAGAAUAUGUUCACUCCCACUUAUGUGUUUAUUGUUAUUGUUUGUUAUUAUUUCCUUGUUAUUGUUGUGUUUACUGUUUGUUUAUUUUGAGGCAGGGUCUUGCUCUGUCUCCCAGUCUCACUGCAGCCUCAACGUUUUGAGCUCAAGUGAUCCUCUCGCCUCUGUUUCCCCACCCCAUUUAUAUUAAUCCUUCAUACAAUUAGUGUUUCUACUAAUGUAGAUUAUCGAAAAUUAGAUAUUGAAUUAAAGCUAAUAUAUGAGAAGUUAUAUUGACAAAGAAAUUGUUACAUAUAUAAUUUCCAGAAUAGUAACUCAGGAGUUCAAAGUCUUCCAUUUUGCUUGAGAAAAAUGAAUAGUAAAUGUCUCUAAACAGGCAGCAUACAGAUUCAGUGAAAAGUUUGAAUUGUGAGCAAUGACAUCACUGAAUUGCUUUGGAUAUAAUUUAGCUUUUAAUAACUACACAUUAGUUAUAAUUCUGUGCAGUUUUAAUUUAUAACACUAGAUGGCACCUGUUAUAUAAUUCAGCUUUAAAUUGUAGUUCAAACCACCUAAAACGUUUUUAUUUUUGUGCUUAAUAGUAGUACUACUAUGCUUUAAACAAACAAAAAAUAUGUUUCUCUGUUAUUUUGAAGACAAAAUUAUUUUUGCUUGGUUGCAUUCUUGCCUCUAGUGACAGACAGCUCUGGCAUCCGAUGAAGUGAUCUUAGUUGUCUGCUCAUUUAUUUAUCUGCUUUUAGCAAGAAAUUACAUAACUUUUAUUUCUAAGAGAUAGUUGUUGGGCAGUUGUUGCAAAUAGAUGAUGUAGCUGUACAUUUUAAAUGUAUGCUCUGGAAUGAGUCACUUUUUUUCCCUGAGCCUCAGUGUCCUCAUUUGCCAAAUAAAGAUGCUUCCUAACUG
rnacentral:sRNA from 1 species